CUUAGUCUUAAACUUUAAUAAUUUUCAAAAACAAAAUUAUUUGCCAGAGAACUACUAGCCACCGCUUAAAACUCAAAGGACUUGGCGGUACUUUAUAUCCACCUAGAGGAGCCUGUUCUAUAAUCGAUAUACCCCGAUACACCUCACCACCCCUUGCUAAUACAGCCUAUAUACCGCCAUCUUCAGCAAACCUUAAAAAAGAACAAAAGUAAGCAAGAGUAUACUCAUAAAAACGUUAGGUCAAGGUGUAGCUAAUGGGCUGGGAAGAAAUGGGCUACAUUUUCUUUAUUAAGAACAUCUACGAAGCUCUUUAUGAAAUUGUAGAGUAAAGGGGGAUUUAGUAGUAAAUUAAGAAUAGAGUGCUUAAUUGAAUGGAGCAAUGAAGUA
rnacentral:rRNA from 1 species